rnacentral:lncRNA from 1 species
AUGGUUGGUUUUGUUGAUUUUCCUCAAAUCUUUCAAGUUUUAACGAGUUCUAACUUGGUUUUGAAGAGUUUUGGAGCUAAGAUCAAGUUUUGGAGCUUGGAGACCCAAGGAGCUAGAUUUCUCCCAUCUCCGAGUUUAGAUCGCCUCCCCUCUCGAUCUCCAAGAGGUAAGAGUAGAUCCUUAGCUCAUUUCAUGUUUUAAACAAGUUUUAUGAAAGUUUAUGCGGUAGAAAUGCGUGUUU